rnacentral:rRNA from 1 species
CAGUGGCGUGCGGGUGAGUAACACGUGGGUAAUCUACCUCUUAGUGGGGAAUAACCAGGGGAAACUCUGGCUAAUACCGCAUAAGCCUGAGAAGGGAAAGCAGCAAUGCGCUGAGAGAGGAGCCCGCGGCCGAUUAGCUAGUUGGUGGGGUAAGAGCCCACCAAGGCAGAGAUCGGUAGCCGGCCUGAGAGGGCACACGGCCACACUGGCACUGAAACACGGGCCAGACUCCUACGGGAGGCAGCAGUGGGGAAUCUUGCACAAUGGGGGAAACCCUGAUGCAGCGACGCCGCGUGAGCGAUGAAGCCCUUCGGGGUGUAAAGCUCUUUCGUCAGGGACGAUAAUGACGGUACCUGGAGAAGCAGCUGCGGCUAACUACGUGCCAGCAGCCGCGGUAAUACGUAGGCAGCAAGCGUUGUUCGGAGUUACUGGGCGUAAAGGGUGUGUAGGCGGUUCUUUAAGUUUGGUGUGAAAUCUCCCGGCUCAACUGGGAGGGUGCGCCGAAUACUGAGGGACUAGAGUACGGGAGAGGAAAGUGGAAUUCCUGGUGUAGCGGUGAAAUGCGUAGAUAUCAGGAGGAACACCGGUGGUGUAGACGGCUUUCUGGACCGUAAC